rnacentral:rRNA from 1 species
UACGGGGGGGGCAAGCGUUGUUCGGAAUUACUGGGCGUAAAGGGCUCGUAGGCGGCCAACUAAGUCAUACGUGAAAUCCCUCGGCUUAACCGGGGAACUGCGUCUGAUACUGGAUGGCUUGAGUUCGGGAGAGGGAUGCGGAAUUCCCGGUGUAGUGGUGAAAUGCGUAGAUAUCGGGAGGAACACCAGUGGCGAAGGCGACUUCCUGGCCUGUUCUUGACGCUGAGGCGCGAAAGCUAGGGGAGCAAACGGG